UACGGGGGGGGCAAGCGUUGUUCGGAAUUACUGGGCGUAAAGGGCUCGUAGGCGGCCAACUAAGUCAGACGUGAAAUCCCUCGGCUUAACCGGGGAACUGCAUCUGAUACUGGAUGGCUUGAGAUCGGGAGAGGGAUGCGGAAUUCCAGGUGUAGCGGUGAAAUGCGUAGAUAUCUGGAGGAACACCGGUGGCGAAGGCGGCAUCCUGGACCAACACUGACGCUGAGGAGCGAAAGCCAGGGGAGCAAACGGG
rnacentral:rRNA from 1 species